GGAGUCAAAGAUCAGGUGCCCAUAUCAAGGGUCCCAUGCUGUGUCCCAUCAUUGUGGAAAAGUAGAAGAGCAAGCAGAGUGACAGAAGAGAGACAGGGAGAGGGGUUGGGCUUGUGUUCUAAUGACUCUCCCCCAUAUUAACCAAUUCAGUACUGAGAACCACACGAACUCCUUUCAACAACCUGAUCCACUAUUGAAUGGGAAAACUGGGAAGAAAGUGAGGAACUGCAAUGAUCAUACACUUCUCUGUGGUCUCCUGCCAGCUGGAUGUCAACAGCUGUCUGUAUUGUCAUACUGUUCCAGGUUCUUGUCUAAAGAGUUUUAGACGAAAAGGAAGUCGGAGGUCAAGUACAUCGACUGUCCAUUCCACACAGAAGGCCGGAAAAAUCCAUGUCUUGCCAAAGAACAGGAUGCCCACAACAAAGGAAUCAGUUGAAGCUGCUCCUGAGGACCUGGUGGAAGCGAUUCCGAGAGACAGAGCAGAGGAGGAGGUCACAUCUCUUGGCAAGGUAUGACUGGGGUUUUUGGUCACAGAAACAAAUGUUCCUGGUAUACAAUCACUAGUCUUAUUUACUUAUUUAUUUGAAAGGCAGAGUUACACAGAGACAGGGGAAGAGAACAAAAGAUCUUCCAUCUAGUAGUUUACUCCCCAGAUGCCUUCAAAGGCCAGAGUUGGUCCAGGCCAAAGCCAGGAGUCCAGUGUGCUACCCAGAUCUCACACAUGAGUGACAUGGGACAUUCUCCAUGCCUCCCCAGGCACAACAGCAUGGCAUUGUAUUGGAAGCUGAGCAACCAGGAUGCAAACUGGCACUGCAGGAUGGACUGCUGGCACUGCAGGCAGCAGUUCCGUUCACUGUGUCACAACAUCAGGCCCAGGCAACGUUUUUCUCAGAUACGAAAAUCUGAACGCCUAUACUGCAGAUGACUUCCACAAUUUAUUUGUGGGGGACGUUAGCCAGCGAAUUACCCAGCAGAAAAUGUGUCAGCCUUACUGGGCCAGCAUCAAUUACAAGUGAUGUGGUGCUGGGCGUUUUCCACAGGAGCAGUUCUGCAUAGUUUAAAUAUUUUAUGAUUUAAAAGAUUUAUUCAUUAUUUGAAAGGCAGAAUAACAGAGAGACAGACAGACAAAGACCUUAAAUCCUCUGGUUACCUUCCCAAAUGGCUAUAAUGGCUGGGGCUGGGCCAUGUGGAAGCCAGGAGCUAGGAACUCCAUCUGGGGGGGGUCUCCCACUGGUUGGAAGGGACUCAAAUACUUGGGACAUCCUCCACUGCCUUCCCAGGUACAUGAGCAGGGAACUGGCAGCAGCAGGGCAGCCUGGACUUGAUUUGGUGCUCUGAUAUGGGAUGCUUGCCUCACAGGGGGCAGCCUAACCCAGUGUGCCACAAGGCCAACCCCCAGGUUUUCAUUUUCACAAAUGAAUGUUGCAUUUGCCAACCAAAAUGAACACGUAAAAUGGGCUGUGAAAAGCUCACGUAUUUCACACAAGUAUCCUCUGUGCUUUAUUUGGGGCAUUUGCCUCAUGCACUGUAUCCCAUCAAGUUUCCCAAGGUCAGCACCAGGAGAAGAGACCUGUGCAAACAGUAUCUGACCUCACAGUGACUUCCUUUCUCUGACUGCAGGUGGACUCAGGAUCCAGUGGACACUGUACGUAUUCUAGAAUGCCUCAGGUGCUGAGGAACAACUGAAGGGAGGAGACACUGGGACCUUCCUGCCGGUUCUCUUCUGGAGAGCCAACCUGAUUCCAGCUUCCUGGUGGAUUAAAAAGAUUGAGGGUGUGGUAAAACAAAAACCAGAAAGACUAGCACAUAGCUACAGGCAUCUAAGGCAGGCUCUGGAAAUAGCUAUGUCAUUUAGAUGGUGGGGGUUUCUGUGCCCCAGUAUGGUGAGUUUUUAUGAGUGAGCGUGUAUGUCUUUGAAAGUGCUUGGAUGUGUAUAUGUGUACAUAUUUCCCACAGAAAAAGUGUUCCCAAAUGCACAGCUCAAGGUUCAAUUCUCAAAAAAAAAAACAAAAAAGAACCUGAUCACCGUCUGAACUUUAUGUAAGUGAGCUCAUUCAACCCUCACCCCACAUGUGUCUGAUGGUUAGGUCACAAUUCCAUGGCUUAGCUGGAUAUGAAACAUACUCCCAACAUAUGUGAAAAGUAUUUAAUACUAAUGAAAACAGUUUAAAAUAUAUUUAGGGAGCUGGAAAGGUCAACAUGAUUUGAUCAUCACACACUGUCUGCAUACAAUGAAUUCUUAUGCUAUAAUCCAUAAAGAUACCAUUUCUAAUGGUAAUAAAAACAAUAAGAUCAGGAGAAAAGUUUUACCA
ensembl:lncRNA